UAUCUCUGGAGAGUCUCUAUCUUUUUAGGAGCGCCGAAGGUGUACCAUAAGCAGCAAAACUGCUUGUGAAUCUCUCAGGCAAAAGGACAGGGCAUA
rnacentral:ncRNA from 1 species